rnacentral:rRNA from 1 species
AGCUUGCUUUCUUUGCCGGCGACCGGCGCACGGGUGAGUAACACGUAUCCAACCUGCCCUUUACUCGGGGAUAGCCUUUCGAAAGAAAGAUUAAUACCCGAUGGCAUAAUGAUUCCGCAUGGUUUCAUUAUUAAAGGAUUCCGGUAAAGGAUGGGGAUGCGUUCCAUUAGGUUGUUGGUGAGGUAACGGCCCACCAAGCCUUCGAUGGAUAGGGGUUCUGAGAGGAAGGUCCCCCACAUUGGAACUGAGACACGGUCCAAACUCCUACGGGAGGCAGCAGUGAGGAAUAUUGGUCAAUGGGCGCUAGCCUGAACCAGCCAAGUAGCGUGAAGGAUGAAGGCUCUAUGGGUCGUAAACUUCUUUUAUAUAAGAAUAAAGUGCAGUAUGUAUACUGUUUUGUAUGUAUUAUAUGAAUAAGGAUCGGCUAACUCCGUGCCAGCAGCCGCGGUAAUACGGAGGAUCCGAGCGUUAUCCGGAUUUAUUGGGUUUAAAGGGAGCGUAGGUGGACUGGUAAGUCAGUUGUGAAAGUUUGCGGCUCAACCGUAAAAUUGCAGUUGAUACUGUCAGUCUUGAGUACAGUAGAGGUGGGCGGAAUUCGUGGUGUAGCGGUGAAAUGCUUAGAUAUCACGAAGAACUCCGAUUGCGAAGGCAGCUCACUGGACUGCAACUGACACUGAUGCUCGAAAGUGUGGGUAUCAAACAGGAUUAGAUACCCUGGUAGUCCACACAGUAAACGAUGAAUACUCGCUGUUUGCGAUAUACAGUAAGCGGCCAAGCGAAAGCAUUAAGUAUUCCACCUGGGGAGUACGCCGGCAACGGUGAAACUCAAAGGAAUUGACGGGGGCCCGCACAAGCGGAGGAACAUGUGGUUUAAUUCGAUGAUACGCGAGGAACCUUACCCGGGCUUAAAUUGCAGUGGAAUGAUGUGGAAACAUGUCAGUGAGCAAUCACCGCUGUGAAGGUGCUGCAUGGUUGUCGUCAGCUCGUGCCGUGAGGUGUCGGCUUAAGUGCCAUAACGAGCGCAACCCUUAUCUUCAGUUACUAACAGGUCAUGCUGAGGACUCUGGAGAGACUGCCGUCGUAAGAUGUGAGGNAAGGUG